CUAGUAAUCGACAAAAAGAUUGCAUUCAGAUUAUCUCUCGAUGAAUCAAAGAUUCAAGAGAGGAUAAGGUUAAGGCCAAAGGGUCUCCAGAAUGCCCUCUCUCCUCCCCCUUCGGAAUUCCCCUGCAAAACUACUUUAAUCCCGACAGAGCUUGACAAUGGGAUUAGCUUCGGUUAUCCACCCCGGCAUGCCAUGUGUUUCGCCGCCUUCCAAUUGCUCUCGGCUUCAACUUACUCACCACCAUAUUUUCAGUUUGCGCACAGUUGGUCAUGGUCGUCGAGCUGAAUAUUUUCCAAUUGCCUGCUCCAGAGGAACCGAGCAGGAGGAUCAUUUCUCUCCCUCAGAAAGCAAGAGAAUCAGUUCUCAGUCAUACGAUGAGAUUAUCAACGCUGAUCCCUAUAACACUCCAGAUGCAAUCAAUAAUCUAGAAAAUUCUCAGGGGCAUGAAACUUAUGCGUCUUCUGUUAGAAAUGUUGCCUUUUGGGUGUGCACUGCGGUGGCAUUUGGCAUUGGAUUAGGUUUGAAAGAUGGACUUGGCAAGGCAUCAGAGUUUUUUGCCGGGUAUAUAUUGGAGCAAAGUUUGUCAGUGGACAAUCUUUUUGUCUUUGUUCUGAUUUUCAAGUACUUCAAAGUGCCCGUUAUGUAUCAGAAUCGUGUACUUUCAUAUGGUAUUGCUGGUGCAGUUGUCUUUCGUUUGACAUUGAUUCUUCUUGGAGCAGUCACUCUUCAGAGGUUUGAGGCAGUGAACCUGCUACUGGCUGCAAUACUCCUAUUCUCGUCAUUUAAGCUAUUUUCCAGUGAAGAAGGCGACACUGACUUAUCUGACAACUUUGUGGUGAAGACAUGCCAAAGAUUUAUACCCGUCACAACUAAUUAUGACAGUGAUCGAUUUAUAACUGUUCAGGAUGAUGCCUGGAAAGCCACACCUUUGCUUCUCACAGUGGCAGUUAUUGAGCUCAGUGACAUAGCAUUUGCGGUUGACUCAAUACCUGCAGUUUUUGGUGUUACCCGGGACCCUUUCAUAGUUUUUAGUUCUAAUCUCUUUGCCAUCUUAGGUUUGAGGUCACUAUACACACUUAUUUCUGAAGGCAUGUCAGAUUUGGAGUAUUUACAGUCGGCAUUCCCUCAUUCCUUUAUAUCAGCCAUCCAUUGGUGUUGUCCUGGGCUUUAUUGGGUGCAAGAUGAUCCUGGAUUUUUUUGGAUUCCAUAUUUCAACUGAGGCAUCUCUUGGUUUUGUAUUCACUAGUCUUAGUGUCGGAGUACUGUUAAGUUUAAUGAACAAGUCUGAUUAAUUAAAGAAAUACAGGCACAGAGGCAGGUAUGACAAACCAGCAUACUCAUGAAACGGAAACCCCGGAACGGAGGCAAAGCCGAAGGUAGCAUAGCUUGUUCUAGUUCCAAUUGAUCUAGUUUGAGCUUUAUCAUUUUCCAAUUGAAGAUUGGUUUUAUCAAGUUAAGUUAUUUAUCUAAGGCUCAAGGGCAAAAGAAUCCAACCAACCAUGAAACUUAUUUGUGAAUCUAACAUUUUCUGAAAGAAUCGGAGGCACAUGGAGCCAUAGGGAAUGUUACUUACAGAGAAGGGUAAACUCCUGCCAUAGGAAGUAGAAGUAGAAUUAAUUAAUACAUUGAAUUCAAAAACCGACUGUACUUAAUAAUAGAAGGAUUUGACAGAAAUAUGUAAAAUUGUCUCUCCUAAAAAGAUUGUUCCAAAAUAAGGUUAUGUUUGGAUAGUAAGAUGAUAUGAGAUAGUUUUAGGUGAAAAUUGAAUAAAA